AAUUAGUAAUUAAUUACUUUUUUGAAGUAACUUACCCAACACUGACUGUUUCCUUUCCAUCACCGCAGCAAUUCUCUCUCUCUUUCUGGUGCAUGCUGGGAGUGAGUGUACCCUUUGGAUUGCAUGUGGGAGAGCGGUUUUUCUGAUUUUUUUUUUCUUAUUAUUUUUCUCGGUUUAACCGAUAUCUACUCUCUCUCCUCUCUUUUUUUGUGUGUGUUUCUCUGAUUUAGUAAGUAGAGAGAAUGGCCUUUCUCUCCGGAAUGGUUUCAGGUGUGUGCCGGAAUUAGGCGCAAAAAUCGAAGAUGUGAUCUUAGAAGUCGCUGAAAAAAUUGGUCACGAAAACAUAAACUCUGCCUCGAAAGUGAAUAAGGCGGCUGUAGUGUUCUUGAAAAAUGAAAAUUUAGUGAAGGACAUGAUUGAAAACGGAAACUUACGUGCCUGUAACACCCUUAUCUGCUCCGGCUACAAAAGUUACUGUCUCAAAUGAAGGCUACCUCCGUUUAUUGGCAAUGAUGUAAAAGAUUAGGUUCGGAAAAAUUGCAGUGUGUCUCAUGGAGAGAGCUCAUACAUGGUGUAUGCAAGCAUGGACAUUGUUUUGAAUGUGGAGAAACCGGACACAAACGUUUAACCUGUCCCAAUAACGCGCUGAUGAAAAUCAAGGCCUACAGAGAGUUGUGGAAAAUAAUACAGUGACUGAAGACAGUUUGCAGGCAGAGACGGUCAAUGUGGAGUCUGGUGUGAUGAGCAUUCAGAAAGAGAGCAACAUUGAGUGACUGAAGCAGUUAAUCAGCUUGCUACAGGAAAAGCACCAGACACUGAUGGUCUACCGGCAGUGUUUUAUAAAUUUCUUUGAAAGGAAAUUGGACAAGAUUUUUUUUUUAGUGUGUUAAAGGAAAUUUUUAAUCUGAAGAUGCUCCCUAAAAUUUGUCAGCUGGCUGUUCUUUCUCUAAUUCCAAAAAAAAAAAAAAAAAAAAAAAAAAAAAGAUCUGUGUAUGCUAAAAAAUUGGAGGCCUGUAUCUUUUCUUACCACUGAUUAUAAGAUACUCUCUCUAAGUGUAUUGUUAAUGGACUUACAAUGUGUUGAAGUUAAUAUUUGAGGAUCAAUCUUAUUGUAUACCUAAGAGAUCUAUUUAUGAUAAUUUGUUUUUAAUGAGUUUAAAAUAUACUAAGGUGUACGCUGUUGAUUUUGAUAUUGUUUCUCUAGAUCAGGACAAGGCUUUUGAUCACAUAGAUCACCAAUACUUGUUCCAUAUUCUUAAGUGUUAUGGUUUUGGAGAAUUUUUAUUUUUUUCUAUUUUGUCUUGGAUAAAAGUGUUUAGGGUUCUUGAUCCACCAUUCAAUUUGAUCUGAGAAAUACAGGAAAUUCUGGUGGACUUUUUUUGGUCAGGACAGCAUUGGCUAAAACCAGCUAUCCUUUAUUUGCCAGUGCAUGAUUGUGGACAGGGACUCAUUGAUAUAAAGGCCAGAUUGGCAACCUUUUGCUUAAUGGCUGUUCAGUGUCUUCUUUAUCAUCAUUCUCAUGUUUGGAUGGAUGUUGCAUGUGCCCUUUUAUGUAAGACUUGAAGAACGUGCCUGGAUAAACAAUUAUUUGCAAAGAAAUUAAAAGGAACUUUGCUUGGAGGCCUUAUACCAUCUUAUAUUGGUGUUUUGGAACUGUGGCGGAUGUUUACUCUCUCUGAGAAUGGGAGAUUCCUGAUGUAUGGAUCUUUGAAGAACGGUUAUUUUAUCUAAGACAUGCAAAGAGCCAUAUGGAUUCCCUGGCUUCAAAAUGUGUUUAAAGGAUGAAGAUUGGGAGUAAGUUCUUGGAAAUAUGUUGUCAUUGAAAACUCACUACAGAGUAGUGAUCUACCGAUAUUGAUUUUUUUUUUUUGUUUCAGAAUCGAUACCGAUAAUUUGUGUGUUUAUGUGCCCAACUUUGCAGAAAUGUAAUACUUCAUUUUAAACUACAGUUUUAGUAGAUUUAUAAGCCGUUUAAUAGGCUAAAGAGUGAAGAAUAAUUCAGCGGGAUAAUGCUAAAUAACUGAAUAAUAUACUCUGGAAUAUUGGAAUAUAAACUUCAUAUUUUAUUGCAUUUCUCAAUGUUAUAUCAGAAUUAUUAAUGUUUUUGUUCUAGAUUAUGAAAUAUCUGCUGACAAAGCACUGUUUAUCUAUGCAUUUACACAGAACUAUACUCAAACUGCGAUCGCUUGCGGAGAUAAUAAAUAAUUAAUUUCCAUAGAGUUGUUUACUUGGAUGUUUAUUAGCAAAUUAAUGGUUAUAUAGAUUAUAUAGAUUAAUGAUGAGCAGAGACAACUGAGAGAGAAUUAAAUUCAGCGCUUUUAUUUCCAACAUGUGCUCAUUCAUGGCUGUA